GACGAACGCUGGCGGCGUGCUUAACACAUGCAAGUCGAACGGAAAGGCCCUGCUUUUGUGGGGUGCUCGAUUGGCGAACGGGUGAGUAACACGUGAGUAACCUGCCCUUGUCUUUGGGAUAACUUCAGGAAACUGGGGCUAAUACCGGAUAGGAGCUCCUGCUGCAUGGUGGGGGUUGGAAAGUUUCGGCGGUUGUGGAUGGACUCGCGGCUUAUCAGCUUGUUGGUCGGGUAGUGGCUUACCAAGGCUUUGACGGGUAGCCCGCAUGAGAGCGUGGCCAGCCACCUUGCGCCUGCGAGACGGCCCAGACUCCUACGGGAGGCAACAGUGGAGAAUAUUACACAAUGGGCGGAAGCCUGAUGCAGAGACGCCGCGUGCGGGAUGACGGCCUUCGGGUUGUAAACAGAUUUGGACUGUGACGAAGCGUGAGUGACGGUAAUGAGUAAAGAAGCACCGGCUAACUACGUG
rnacentral:rRNA from 1 species